UACGUAGGGACCGAGCGUUGUCCGGAAUCAUUGGGCGUAAAGAGCGUGUAGGCGGCCAAUUAAGUCCUGCGUGAAAUCUCGGGGCUCAACCCCGAGCGGUCGUGGGAAACUGGUUGGCUAGAGUGCGGGAGAGGAGAGUGGAAUUCCUGGUGUAGCGGUGAAAUGCGCAGAUAUCAGGAAGAACACCAACGGCGAAGGCAGCUCGCUGGGACGGAACUGACGCUAAGGCGCGAAAGCGUGGGGAGCGAACAGG
rnacentral:rRNA from 1 species